GACGAACGCUGGCGGCGUGCUUAACACAUGCAAGUGGAGCGACGAACCGGGGCUUGCCCCGGGGCAGAGCCGCGAACGGGUGAGUAACACGUGGGUAACCCACCCCGAUGAUUGGGACAACCCGGGGAAACUCGGGCUAAUACCAAAUGUGCUCGUAGACCAUGAGGUCCAUGAGUAAAGAUAGCUUCGGCCUUCGCAUCGGGACGGGCCCGCGGCCCAUUAGCUUGUUGGUGAGGUAACGGCCACCAAGGCUGCGAUGGGUAGCUGUCUGAGAGGACGAUCAGCCACACUGGGACUGAGACACGGCCCAGACUCCGUACGGGAGGCAGCAGUGGGGAAGUCUUGCGCAAUGCGCGAAAGCGUGACGCAGCAACGCCGCGUGGAGGAAGACGGUCUUCGGAUUUGUAAA
rnacentral:rRNA from 1 species